ACGCACGCUGGCGGCGUGCCUAACACAUGCAAGUCGAACGAGCGAGAGAGAGCUUGCUUUCUCGAGCGAGUGGCGAACGGGUGAGUAACGCGUGAGGCACCUGCCUCAAAGAGGGGAACAACAGUUGGACACGACUGCUAAUACCGCAUAAGCCCACGACCCGGCCUCUGGUAGAGGGAAAAGGAGUGAUCCGCUUUGAGAUGGCCUCGCGUCCGAUUAGCUAGUUGGUGAGGUAACGGCUCACCAAGGCGACGAUCGGUAGCCGGACUGAGAGGUUGAACGGCCACAUUGGGACUGAGACACGGCCCAGACUCCUACGGGAGGCAGCAGUGGGGAAUAUUGCACAAUGGGGGAAACCCUGAUGCAGCGACGCCGCGUGGAGGAAGAAGGUCUUCGGAUUGUAAACUCCUGUUGUUGAGGAAGAUAAUGACGGUACUCAACAAGGAAGUGACGGCUAAAGAAGGGACAGAAGCCGCCGGAAAAC
rnacentral:rRNA from 1 species